UGCAAGCUGCACCCACGAGCCUAAGGACUCUGCGGCCGUACCUUCCUCAAGAGGGAUUUGUGUAUUAAGCUGCUGGUGCUGUACCCAUGAAAGCAGUGGCUGAGCAGUCUUGCCUGUGGAGGAACCACUGCUGCUUUGUUUUCAGGUCUCCGAGGAGCGCUGGCACAGUGCGGGAGGACGGUGCGCUGCCGGCUGCUGCAUGCGAGCUGCCGUGGUGGCCGGCUGAGCUCUGCAUGAGCUGGAGCCAGCCACAGCAUCAGCGGGGCAAGCAGUGAGAAACGGGCUGCCUGUACCAGUCUGAAGGUUCAGCUCUGCCAGAGGUUAGAAAAGAGGUUGUUUGUCUGAAGAGACAAGGGUGUGGUGAAAAUACUCUGUACCAGCCAAGUGAACCAAAACACAAUCUGAAUUACAAAGCAGGCUGGAAAAUAAAAUUCAACUGACAGAAGAUCUGGACCCCACCUGUGCUGAAAGACGGAGAGAAACGGAGUCCCAGGAACUGGCCAUGUACAGCUCCUGGAGCUAAUUAGGAGAUAAUGCCAGUGGAACCAAAUACUGUCACGAGAUAAUGAUCUCGCACCGUUAUAGAAAUGGAGAUGCUGCUUCCCAGUGCAGGCUACGUUUCACCUCGUGGUUCAUUUCCAGGCAUCAUCCUGCAGGGCAUUCCCCUCUCCCCUUGCAAGGCCAUCCCCACAGGCAGGAAUGCUGCUAUUGACCUAUUUUCUACAAUCAAGACAGAAGGGGGCAGGAGGGAAAAGUCUACACUCAGGUUUUUGCUAUUGGACACACUUCAUCCCUGAUAGGGCAUCUGCACUAUGAAGUUCACCCUGAAUGAAUGGGCAUUCAGGUGUCUUCACCUCCAGGAGACAGCGCACAACUCUCAGGCUGAAUGAGCCCCAGCUGGAUAGUUUUUUUAAAAUCUCCAUGGGUAACAGACCUGGAAGACUUUUCCCUCAUGCUGGCCUGGGCUGAACACUUGGUGGACAGGCUGUCUCUGACAGAAGAAUACAGUUCAUCAAAAGUGUCUGCAGGUUGUCAAACUCUGUGAGAUUUGGGGACACUCGGAGGCUGUCAUGGCCAACAAGAAGAUUUUCUGUAGGGUUCUGCCAUCAUUCACCCUCAGGAAAUAAUCACUCACUACAUUCUGCAUGCUCUCAUGAUAGAGCUCUAUUUGAGAGAAAAGAGCCAUUUUAUCAAAGGACAAUAUAUCCCUUCUCUUGGUCCAUGCAGCUUCCAUUAUCAGACCAUAAUAAAUCAUAUUUAUGUUCUCAGUUAAUAAGACUGAUUACAAUGCAGGUUACAGGCAUGGGAAAAGCAAAGCAGGUGAAAAGAUGUUUUAAUGAAAAUAUGAUAAGCAAACAGCUUCUUGUGAACAUUUCAGGCUGUUAUUUGUAAUGAUCACAGGCAAUUUUUGAUACAUCUUCUUUAGCAAUGGUUUAAGCUGCAUAAAUUGGCUUGCCACUUUAUACGUUGAAAUAGGAAGAAUCCCAGUGUCCUCCUUAUGUUGUCUAGAAUCAUUAUAUACAUUAUAAGCAUAAAAUGAGUUUAAUGUAUGUGCUUUGAAAAGAAGGGGAAAACAGAAAAUCAGGGAAGACUGAUUUUAAUGCUGCUCAAAAUGAUUUUGAAAUUUUCUACUCAUCUUUGUUACUAACGGUACAUUUUCCAUGAAAUUUAGGAAUGACAUGUACUGCUUUCAUCUCCUUAAAAUUAAUAUACUGCUCUUUCUGUUUUUCUCAAUUUCUUCAAAGUUCUUUUUAGAGCACUGUGCAAAGAGACAGAGAGAAAUUCUCCACUCGAUGUGUGAGCAUAUCUGCUAUUAAUGCUGAGGGGAGUUAAGUGUGUGCUUCUACAAGAGAAUAUACCCCAGUGUUCAAUACUGAAAGGUACCCUAUUAAAAAGGUGCAAGCAUGUUUAGCUCCAGCACAUGUGAUGCAUUCAAGGGCCAACUUCCUAAGAAUUUUUUUAAGUGAUUAAGAUCUUUUUUGGUCAGGUAAAAGUUCUGAUAUGAUUUCAGCAUAUAACUGUAUGGAGGGAAGUGGCUGAUGGACUGUCUUGCUCUCAUCUUGUGGAAAGUCUUCUUUUGUUAUUGUUAUGUUCAGCAUCAUACUUUCAAGAUGAAGUUAGAAAUGUAAGGAAUAAUUUCCUCCUGCUGAUACAUAAUUUCGACCAAGUCUCUGAAAUUCUACAGCACUUGCAGAACACUGGUGACAAAGGCUCCUUGGUGUUGUGUGUCUGCAAGACCUAUUCUGGUCACUGAUAUUUCCCCCAAAUAAUUCUUAAACAAAUUUUAAAGCUUUGUAAUUGGCCUGGCCCUGGAGAAUGACCAUGAAAUUCCCUUAACCCUUCUAGGGCACUUCAACAAGAGAAGUGCCCACACAAGAAACAGCAAACUGCUUUUCAAAGGCAAUAUCCUGAUAUGAAAACAGACAUAGAUAAUGUACUUCAUGAUGGAACUGCUUGAUACAGAGAAAAACAUGUUGUAACUGCUUUCACCGUGAAAAGGGUUUAAAAAUGCUGCCUGCCAACGCCACAAAACCCAGAGCUGCUAUUUCAGUUAAAGGCCAGUGGAUUGUAUUUUUCAUGUCAGUUUUCACUAACCUCAAACAUCACUGUUAUGACAGACCGUCAUCCAACCAAACUAGCACUCUGGUGCCAUUCAAGCAGGCAGGAAGAAAGCAAACAUGAAGGAAACUUAAAAGUCCAAUUAGUAAGUGGGGGGUGCACGUGAAUGAAUUACUUUUAUGUAAUGAUACUGAUUACUGAAAAUUAAACACUUAAAAGAAAAUAAACAAAAAGCAGUGCUUUCUGAGCCAGUGGUGUUUUCUUGGCUGGCAAUUUCUCUUUGUUCAGUUUCAUGACACCAGCCUCAAUGGUUGAAGGGGUGUUCUGGGCCAGAUGUCAAUCACAAUGUCUGACAUAAACAAAAAUAGCUAAAAAGGCACGCCAGCAUCUUCCUUUUGUUUUCCCAUUAGCUCCAUUUUUCUUUUCAUAGGCUGACAAAAAAUUACUGCCUCCAAGUGAAUUCAGUAAUGUCGCUAUAUAUCUAAUAUCUAGGAGCCCUUUUGUUUUAGCUUUACUGGGCUUAACCACAAAAGACACUUGACAUUGACAAAGAAUCUGUCAAACAUACAAUGAUCAGUGCAAUGAAACCUCUCAUGACAGAAGGGCACUAUUCUGCUUCCCCCCCCCGCCUCCAGCAGCAGCCUGUCUGAGCAAAAUAUGCUGGAGCACAUGUAGCAGCUGAACCAUUACAGAGCAGGCCAGAAGCUGAGAUGUGUCUUGUUUAAAUUGUCAUAGCAUAUUAGUAUAAUUAAAACCGCCAAAAGAGUAGAAAAGAUAGAUGGAAAUGUUACAUUACUUGUUUCUAGAGAUUAACCUCCAGCCAGAACUGAAACAGAGGCACACGUUUUGGAUUUCCUAGAGCUCUGAUAUGGAAGAAAACAAGCCCGAGAGUAUGUCUCUUGAAGUGUGAGACAUGAAGUCAUAGUUCCUGUAUUUACACAAUAAAGCAGAAAUAGUGUUCAGACAGACACUCUGUUUUCUCUGUGAUUGCAGCUCCUGUUGUGGCUGUACUCUGCAACGCAGUUGUGUCAUCUCUCAGCUACCUCCUUUUCACUCUCCUUUGCCUUCGUGCCUGCAAGGUCUUGACAGUCCUUGGGCCUGCUAAUGAGCUGGUGCUACCACUCUCCGCUCCCUCCCCAUCUCUGAGCUUGGCUGGUGCUUCAGGUGCCCAGCCCUGAAGCAGCACACAGUGUCCUGGCUGGUGGCUGCGGAGGCCAUGGCUUGGGCUCUGGGGCUCAGCAAUGCCAAGCAGCUGUGCUCAGGAAGUCCUCCUGCACAGGCUUCGUCCCCUGGGCAUGCCUGUGCCCGGGCAAGAGAAACAAACACCUACUGGAGGCAGGCACAGGUAGAGCAGCCCUGAGACUGCUCUUGAAUUGCACAGGGGAGCCAGACUGGAGCUGGGAGUCAGACUAAGAUUGUCUUCGCUUAGGCUGUUUCUGCUUCUCAUUGCCAAGGAAGAUGUUCAAACAAUGGCUUCAAUUUAAAAUCUGAACUUUCAAAUGCCAAGCUCCAUGCUUGCUUCUGUGUUGAACGGACAGAUAAAAACACAUGGCUUUCUAAAAUUGACCCUGCAAAUUAUGUUAUCUUCAUUGGAUGAGAUGUUUUCCUUCCCAUGCAUCAUUACCUCUGAUAACUAUUCAGGACUAACUAGUUAUGAUGCCAAUUUCUAAUUAUGCCCCAAGUUAUAUCUGGUGGUGAGAAACCGAUGGAGAACCUUCUGUGGAUCUGUUCAGUUGUAGAUGUUGGAACCUGAUUUAUCCAGAAGCUGGGGAGGACCUGAACUGGCUCCGGCAGUUCUGAAAGACAGCAAAAGCAGCACGGCUUUCCUCUGACAAAAGUGGUACAUUCAAGGAGAAGAUACAGGAAUCAGGUUCAUCUAAGUGACCAUAAAAUUCUUGAGAAGUUUAUUAAUUUCAAAUCACAAUAACAGAGUAAUUUCCAGGUCAGAUUUCCUAGAAGACGACUCAGUACCACGGACAAUCGCAUGGUCUAUUAAACAGAACAGUAUGGUUUGUGGAAAAGAUAAUAGUCCAGAUCACGAGAUAGCACCAGAUUUUACGUUAUGAUCUCCAGAUGUCUUUGGGAACUUAAUGCAUCCAGCAUUAGUUCAAGUCUAAUCUGCAUGGCAGAAAUGCGAGUUGGUCCAAUUUUCUCCUCUUUGGGGCUGUGUGGAGAAACUGUCUCCCUAAGGGCUGCAGAGGACAGGCUGGGGUAGUUUGGCCAUGCUUUGGUAAAAAUAUUCACCGCAUUGCCAACUGCUCCUGGACUGCCCAGUGGUAUCACGUGCAGAAAAGAAAAGGAUUCAUCUUUGCUUAGUGGGACAGUGCUGUGCCCAGGUCUUUCUGAUACAUGCCCGUCAGAGCUGGCUCUACGCGUUGGCCAAGCAGGCAAUUAUUUAGGGCAGCAAAGUGAUUGUGGCCUCACUGCCUGCUUCAUCCGUGCUUCCAGAGCGCUGGAGAGGCAGGCGGGUGUUGUGCUGCUACUCUGGAGAGAAGAGUUUGCCUGAAGGACAGGAAAGUCCCACCUGGCAGUGUCCACGUUCCCAUCUGGCUGCAGAAAGCUGGUGAGUCUGCCCCUGACUGCCUCCACACAGACAUAACAGGCCUCCCUGUGCUGUCCCCAGCCCUACGCUUUGAAAGCACCAACGUUCCCUUUUGCUUCCAAUGCUGAAAAGCCCUGAGUUACAGCAGCUUGUCACAACUGUCAGGCUUCUGUGACAACCUUAUUGUAUCAUUCUAAGCAGUGCAUGUUGAUUCACUGGAGGGAGGGUAGACUUUGCCAAAUUGAGGCAUCAUUUACUUGCUUAGAAGCUCCUGGAGUGAGUGUCUCUGCAACGGGAAGGCAGCUCCCCUGCUGUUUCCACGGUGCAACUUUGGAGUUCAAUACAUUCCCCUGAGCGUCUGCUGUAAAACAAUGUAUUGCAUCAGUUCCCUGAACCAGGGUCUUGGUGAAGUCCACAGUAUGGUGGUGUUGAGCAAGGGAUGAAAUCACCCCAGGGGAUUUCCAGCGCUUUGCAGGGCAGCCCAGUAUCCUGCUGUGCCCAGAGGGGCCACAGAUGUCCAGGAGCUUCUGGUGGGUCACAUGUACCUAUAAACACGAUACAGUAUUUGCUCCAUUGCAUUCCUGGCGGAGAGCGCUUUGUACUGGUAGAGGUAGAUGGUGGGGGAUAACAAUGCAAGGAUCUGCCAGUGCAUUUCCUUUUCAAUUUCAGCACCAUUGGGCUGGGAAGUAAAAAAGAGCUCUGCAAACAGAACAAGUGUCUGACAUGACACUGCAACAUAAAAAAAAGCUCACGGCUACUUUUCCUCCAUGGAAAUCUGUACAAAAAUUGGCAAUUUGGGACUUUGUGAAUUUCUCUCUGGAGUCAAAAAUUCAGUGUGAGUGCACAAAAGAGUGUGAGGAGAGAGCAUUUUGGCUCCUUCAACCCUGUGCAGAAAACCUCCCAGGGUUCAGAUAGGAUUUUAGCAUUUCUUGCAGUCUUCAAAUGUGCUGUGCAAGGAUGUGCUUAUACAUAAUUUUGUAAUUGAAAUGGCAUGUUUACUGUUCUAUUUCAUGCUUGAUUGUGUUUUUUAAACACCUUUACUCAUGCUGUUAGAAGUGGGAUUAUAAUUAAAAUGUCCUGUUGAACACCUUGUUCAGUUCAAUGAAGGCGUAAUAGAAGUAUAAAUACUUGUUCUCGUUGACUCUGUGAUGUCAGCACAACAAACACAGUAAAUGUCAUAAACCAAAUCUCUCUUUCGCCAAAGCAUCCGUCAGAAGGGAAGGGGAAACAGAAUCUGCAGCUGGGCAAUGAGGGGACCUCUUUUUUGGUAAAAGGAAAUAUUUUGAGAUAUUAUAAUAUCUGUGAUAUAGAUGUGUUAACUAAGGCAUGGAAUGAUUGACUGAUUUAGCUAGUUAUGAGAAAAAAUCAGAGUGGAAUUUGUUCCUCUUCUCGCAGUCCCUUGGCCUAAAGACUAGGCAGUACUUUCUCCUUCUACAGUUGCCAUUAGGAAAUGCUGAGUCUGGUUAUAAAGUGUGAAAGAGUAACUUAUAUUUCUUAUUAUUCCUGUUUGCUUAAAAUGUGUACAGAUACACAGGCUUCAUGUUUUUAUGGUGGGGUUGAACUGCAACACAAAGUCCAAAUGUUUCUAAGUCAACAUGCAGUCGUUACAGCACUUCUGCAUAGCAAUAAUGGUUUAAUUUUCUCAGUGUUUUCUCUUGUACUCUAAGUUACCACCGAUGAUGAGAUGCGUACCCAUCCUGGCAGGCGAUUGUUCAGUCUUAAGGAACUUUAAAUUACUUCACAGCUUGAAAUUCCAGAGCUACCAAAACCAGCUUUAUUGGAGUGAAAGGCACCUGGAAGUACUGGAUGUCCCAGAGGAAUUCAGCCAGAGGGACACGCAGGUCUGAGAGACUUUGCGGCUAAGGUUGUGUUCCAGUGAUUGCUACUUUUGUGGGCUUGCAGGUUUCUUCCCCUGCCAUGGGAGAGGAAAAUGAUGCCUGGAAUUUGUGGUAGAUGAUACAAAUGACUGCCUGAUUGUGUAAAACCUUAAAUAGGUCUUUAGAGAGGAGACCCUCAAGUGUUGUGUGACUCUAUGGAUCACACAACAGCACUUAGGUACGGGGAGUCUGGAGAGACAAGUGGGAAGUCUUUGCAGAAAAGACUGCAUCGACAUUUAGACAAAAAUAUAGCUCUGUGAGGUACAUGCCACUUGCAGCAUUGACCUGGGUAAACCUUUUGUUCGCUUGGUACCGACUGCUGCUGUUAUUCACACGGAUGCAAAAUCACAAGCAGGCGGCUCAGUGGGGUUUUAGGUGGGCGCACCCAGACCCCCGGGCCGGGCCCGCGGGGCUGCCCAGGGAGCCCGUCGGACUCGGCGCACGCAGGGUGGCAGAAAGGGGCUCUUUUCACGAUUAGUCCCUGCAAUAUUGUGUAUUUUUAACAAAUUUACAGCAUAGAGCAGCACUAGCCUCAGAAGGUUGACAAGGCGGUUAAAUGCAUGCAGACAAGGUGCUCCCUCCAAGCAAGCAGGCUUUGUUAACACCUGUAAGGUUAAAAACCUGCCUUUACACUGUACUUGAGAAAGCAAAUAACGCCGUGUAAAGCGGCAGCAGUAACACCACAGCCCCGGGGCCCACCCUGUAGCGGGACUGCGACAGCCACGUCCGCUGCCCCCAGCGACGGCGGCCCAAGGCCCCUGGGGCUCGGGCAGGGCCCCCCUCGCCCCCCCCCGCGCCCCGGGCUCGAGCAGAGCCCACCGCCACGGCCGGGCCCCCCACCGCCGCGGCCGGCCGGGCAGCGGCCCCGCCA